rnacentral:rRNA from 1 species
AUGCUUGGGAACGUGCCUUGAGGUGGGGGACAACAGUUGGAAACGACUGCUAAUACCGCAUAAUGUCUACGGACCAAAGGGGGCUUCGGCUCUCGCCUUUAGAUUGGCCCAAGUGGGAUUAGCUAGUUGGUGAGGUAAUGGCUCACCAAGGCGACGAUCCCUAGCUGGUUUGAGAGGAUGAUCAGCCACACUGGGACUGAGACACGGCCCAGACUCCUACGGGAGGCAGCAGUGGGGAAUAUUGCACAAUGGGCGCAAGCCUGAUGCAGCCAUGCCGCGUGUGUGAAGAAGGCCUUCGGGUUGUAAAGCACUUUCAGUCAGGAGGAAAGGUUAGUAGUUAAUACCUGCUAGCUGUGACGUUACUGACAGAAGAAGCACCGGCUAACUCCGUGCCAGCAGCCGCGGUAAUACGGAGGGUGCGAGCGUUAAUCGGAAUUACUGGGCGUAAAGCGUACGCAGGCGGUUUGUUAAGCGAGAUGUGAAAGCCCCGGGCUCAACCUGGGAACUGCAUUUCGAACUGGCAAACUAGAGUGUGAUACAGGGUGGUAGAAUUUCAGGUGUAGCGGUG